CCUCCGCGCUGUUGCCGCCACGGCGUUUGCUGCCCCUGCCCCUCUUCGUCUUCUCCCUCCUCCCCCUGGCGCUGCUGCUCCUCCUGCUGCCGCCGCUCCGUCAGCCAGUGCCGCUUCAGCCACACGCGCAGGCAGGCAGGCACGGCACGUCCGCCCGCCCGACCCCACCGCCGAGCGACCCACCCGGGAGAAAGGGAAUAGGAAGCAGCGCUGGCGGCCGCGGCCCGUAAUCACCUUUUAAAUAUUUGGCUGUAUAUCCCUAAAGCAGGAGUGGGCCAAACACCAGAAGGAUGUAAAAAGCCAAAGUAACAAAGCUGACUUUUUUUUCUGCAAAGGUGUGCUUCCAGGCAUUUGGUAAGAACAAGAAAGAGACAAUGAAUUCUGUGUGACACCUCUCCAUUAUUUGUGUGUGCUGUUGAUGCAUGUGAUGUUAAUAUGAUUUUUUAAAAUAUUCAUUUUUAAUGUUCUGUAACAGGAAUCACCAGGCAUCACAGCAAUGAAAUUAAAUUGCUGUCUUUGAACCAACUACAUUUUUCAGUGUUAUAAAUGAAUAAAUAUUUACCAUCUUAAAUCCA